AAUUUUCUUUUUAUAAUUUAAAAAUACUUUUUCAAACUAUUUUUAAAAUUUUUAUUUUUUAUUCUAGUAUUUAUUUUUUAUAAAAUUUUAAAUCCUAAUUCCAAAACCCCACCCCUUAACUCUAAACCCUAAGGUUUGGAUUAAUUAACCCAAGGGGUAUAAAUGUAUAUUUACUUCUUUAAUGAAACCUAUUUUUGUGACUUUGAGUCUUGAAUGCUACUUCGAGAACAAAAACAUUCUAGUCUUUUUCUCUUAGAAAAACUAAAGUAGGAAACAAAAUCCAAAACAGAUUAGAUUCCAUGAACAAAGGCAUCAAUGUCAGGCUGAGGAAGGUCAUCAAGCAACGAGUCAAUGCUACAUCCUUCCUCAAGCAGCUUCUCAUUGAAUCCAAAGUCAUCAGUAAACACACACUCCGGCACAAUCCUGUCUUGUCCGUAAAACUCAUCUUCCUUCUCCUUCUUCUUUUCCUCAACGGCCACAACAUCCUUCUUCAUGUUACUCUCUUUGCGUCUACUUCUUUCAGGAACAGAGGAAGACGACAAAACUCCCACAUCCAGACUCUUUAUGUAAUCCUGCAACAGAGAAGGUUUCAAGUCAGAAGAACCACUCAACUUUGAAAACCAAGAAGAAGAAACAGGGAGGGAGAUGGAAGAUGUUGGUUGAAAAAAAAAAUGAUAACCAAAGCCGCCUGAAGAAUCCUGUGACCACUUUUGGCCUAAGAAAAGUUUUUGUGUUUAUUGGUUCUGUAAUCUCUUGGUAUGUAUUCGAAUUUAUACCGAAGUAGGGGACCAGCUCUAUCAAUCAAAAACCAAACUUCAUUGUUGACAAA